CCUACGGGUGGCAGCAGUGAGGAAUAUUGGUCAAUGGACGAGAGUCUGAACCAGCCAAGUAGCGUGAAGGAUGACUGCCCUCUGGGUUGUAAACUUCUUUUAUAUGGGAAUAAAACGUUCCACGUGUGGGAUUUUGUAUGUACCAUAUGAAUAAGGAUCGGCUAACUCCGUGCCAGCAGCCGCGGUAAUACGGAGGAUCCGAGCGUUAUCCGGAUUUAUUGGGUUUAAAGGGAGCGUAGGUGGAUUGUUAAGUCAGUUGUGAAAGUUUGCGGCUCAACCGUAAAAUUGCAGUUGAAACUGGCAGUCUUGAGUACAGUAGAGGUGGGCGGAAUUCGUGGUGUAGCGGUGAAAUGCGUAGAUAUAACGAAGAACUCCGAUGGCGAAGGCAGUUCACUGGACUGUAACUGACACUGAGGCUCGAAAGUGUGGGUAUCAAACAGGAUUAGAUACCCCUGUAGUC
rnacentral:rRNA from 1 species